CGCCGGCCGCCGAGCAAGCGGCGUCUGCGAACCGGGGUUUUAAGAGUCCUUUUGGGCUCCUUGGGGCCAUGAGGUGAGAAGCACUGAACCAGACAGCCGCGGGCUGGUGAAACGUGAGGAACCGUCCUGAGAGCAGCUGGCCUCUAUGCAUCCUGCAGAUCCACAAGCCAGCGAGAAAGUGUGGGACCAGUCCAGGGCACCCAGGCCGCAGGCUCCCGCCUCUGAUGCGCCAACACCCCUCACCCGUCCCCACCUUGGAGCAUGGCCCUAAGGACCUGGAAUCGCCUGCAGAGAACUGCCCUGCAGACCAAGGCUGGGCUGGCGGGCAAGGAGGCCUGGAGAAGCUCACCCCUGUCUCCCCACAGCGCAGGGCGGGCCUGGACCUAGGACAGAGCCCCCACCCCACCCGGCCAGCUCUGCUGUCAUCUCCUGGUGAAGCCCCCUCCCAGGAGGACUCACCCCCUGGAAGGAGGGCCCGGGAGGAGCCCCAGCCCUUCAGCUGGACCUGCAUGUGUACCCAGAAUACGUCUUGGGGCUUCAGUCCUGCCUCCCUAACAGCCCUCUACAGAGAUGGGCCCAAGAAGACUGGAAUGUGUUGGUUCUUUCAGGAAGAGACCAGACCCUGCCACAAGGUCACCAGACGGGUUGCACCUGCAGUCCAGGCUUCUUAAGGAAUGCUAGAAUUUUUCUAAUGCCAAAAGUUAAUAUUUUACUUUUUCUCUGUGAACAAGAGAAGGUCCUGUCUCUGAGUCACUCUGAAUGCUGUUCAGAUCCUGCAUAAUUUCUAAAACAGUGGGCAGUGUGGACACCAGCCAUGUGCCCCGUGUCCAUCACUGCUGUGGGCCAUCCACUCUCCCUGGGCUCAGUGGUCCCUGCAGGCACAUCGUGGGCGCCCCCCAAGAAAGCUGUGUCCCCCACAGGCCUGAAAGGCAGCCUCAGAUGCAGCUUCUGGCUGAACAGGAGUGGCUCUGGCUGCUCUCACCGGCAUCAGGGCAUGCGGGCCGCUGCCCACUUUCACCACCCCUGAGGGUCACACAUGUCCAUGGAAAACAGCCCAGUGCCAAAAAGAAGGCAGGACGAGGCCAGAGCUGUCAGCCCCCAGGACCGAAAGCCCUAAUGGUUGCUUGCUUCUUCCCUCCGGUGCCCAAGAGCGAAGACCUGGUUGUAAUCAGGAGGCAUUUAUUGGGGGUUGGUUUGGGGUGUGCAGCCCAGAUCCAGGCACUGGAAUUGUGA
rnacentral:lncRNA from 1 species